rnacentral:rRNA from 1 species
GACGAACGCUGGCGGCGUGCUUAACACAUGCAAGUCGAACGACGUGGCGCACGGGUGAGUAAUACGUGGGUAACCUGCCCUCCUUUUUGGGAUAAGCCUUGGAAACGGGGUACAAUUCCGCAUAACGGGGGAUGGGCGCGCGGCCUAUUAGCUUGUUGGUGGGGUGAUGGCCUACCAAGGCGGUGACGGGUAGCCGGCCUGAGAGGGUGAUCGGCGACAGAGGGACGGAGAUACGUCCUAGGCGCGUAAGGGAGGCAGCAGUGGGGGAUAUUGGGCAAUAGGGGAAAGCGUGAUGCAGCGACGCCGCGUGGGGGAUGAAGGCUUUCGGGUUGUAAUCGUAGAGAGCGAUCGAACGGGUAGGUGGAGAAUAAGCGCCGGCUAACUACGUGCCAGCAGCCGCGGUAAUAC